rnacentral:rRNA from 1 species
UACGUAGGGCGCGAGCGUUGUCCGGAAUUAUUGGGCGUAAAGAGCUCGUAGGCGGCUUGUCACGUCGGUUGUGAAAGCCCGGGGCUUAACCCCGGGUCUGCAGUCGAUACGGGCAGGCUAGAGUUCGGUAGGGGAGAUCGGAAUUCCUGGUGUAGCGGUGAAAUGCGCAGAUAUCAGGAGGAACACCGGUGGCGAAGGCGGGUCUCUGGGCCGAUACUGACGCUGAGGAGCGAAAGCGUGGGGAGCGAACAGG